rnacentral:lncRNA from 1 species
CCAUGAGCUGGGUUACACUGGCUGCAGAGAUACGAUGCACCGUUUUUCCUGCCUUUAGAACAAGGCUCCCUAGAUCCCCAAGGAUCAUUUUCCAAUCAUGAACAGAUAUUGGUAUUUCUUCCCAAUUUUUUUAACCUCCUCUGGCUGUUGGAAAUGGAUAUUCUUGGCAAGACAAUUCAUCACAGCUCAUAACAGCCAGAGCAAACAAUCAAGAAAGAUGAUCGUUCGUUUCGUAAUCAGAGGAGAUUCACAUCCCAU